rnacentral:rRNA from 1 species
GAUGAACGCUGGCGGCGUGCUUAACACAUGCCAGUCGAACGGAAGGGCCCUGCGUUUGUUUGUUUCUUGUUUGGCGCGGGGGGGAGUAACACGCGAGUAACCUCCCCUUGACUUUGUGAGAACUUCAGGAGACUGGGGCGAAUAACGCGGAGGAACUCCUGCUGCAUGGGGGUGGUUGGAAAGUUUCGGCGGUUGGGGAUGGACUCGCGGUUUAUCAGCUUGUUUGGGGGGUAGUGUCUUACCAAGGUUUUGACGGGUAGGCGGCAUGGGAGGGUGACCGGGCACAUUGGGACUGAGAUACGGACCAGACUCCUACGGGAGGCAGAAGUGGGGAAUCUUGCACAAUGGGCGGAAGCCUGAUGCAGCAACGCCGCGUGCGGGAUGACGGCUUUCGGGUUGUAAACCGCUUUCGACUGUGACGAAGCGUGAGUGACGGUAAUGGGUAAAGAAGCACCGGCUAACUACGUG